RUGCAAUAUGCAAAGAUUYUCUUUGAGCACAAGCUUUACCAGCGUUGAAAUCUGUUUUGUCAAUUGCUCUUAUGGCAGCAACCUGCCAAACAUGCCUUUCCUUCUUUUUGAACUUUGUCUUCUCUAUGUUUCUUCACUAUAUUUUGCGCUUGAUCAUCAUUAUGAUAAAAGGUCUCAGCAACUUCCAUAAGCCCACUCAUGAUUUCUAAAUCCGUAAAGAUGGUUGGGUUUGUGUAACUGUAAUAUGGAUUCAACAUGUAUGCUGCCACGUGCAAUUCAGAAUCAAGCCUCCCUACCAUCUUGGUGUCCAUGUCCGCAGGGAUCACCUUAUAGUCUUUCUCUGUAUGUUCCACGGUAUCCAUGAUGGCCUUUUUUGGCCUCUAGUAGUUCACCAUAGAUUGUGACCAUGGAUUGACCGUCUUUAUCAGCCAACUGAAGCACCUUCACCAAUGGCUCAAAAGCCUUGCAUGGUACAUACCCAAGUAGUAGUCAAUACUCAGGACAACAUUAAACAACUCCAUACACAACAUAAAAACAGCCACUAACUACAACAUUAAACAACCCAUACCUUGAUGCAAAGAGACAUUUUUCCAAUAGUCCUUACUCAUGAUUGUGGCAUGACUGAACUUUCCUUUGUUCUUGUGUGCUUGUAUUCUUCCCAAGCAUCACUACCAACCAUUGCUUCUAAUUCCUUCUUAGCAACCAAACAUUGCAAAGUAAGAAAUGUCGGAACAAAUCUUGUCAAUGCCGGUCUCACAAUGUNNN
rnacentral:lncRNA from 1 species